rnacentral:tRNA from 2 species
GCCCCCGUAGCUCAGUUGGACAGAGCAGGGACCUCCUAAGUCCAAGGCCGCAGGUUCGAAUCCUGCCGGGGGCG